GCAAGUCGAGCGGAAGGCCCUUCGGGGUACUCGAGCGGCGAACGGGUGAGUAACACGUGAGCAACCUGCCCCUGACUCUGGGAUAAGCCCGGGAAACUGGGUCUAAUACCGGAUAUGACCACUCCAGGCAUCUGGCGGUGGUGGAAAGUUUUUCGGUCGGGGAUGGGCUCGCGGCCUAUCAGCUUGUUGGUGGGGUAGUGGCCUACCAAGGCGACGACGGGUAGCCGGCCUGAGAGGGCGACCGGCCACACUGGGACUGAGACACGGCCCAGACUCCUACGGGAGGCAGCAGUGGGGAAUAUUGCGCAAUGGGCGGAAGCCUGACGCAGCGACGCCGCGUGGGGGAUGACGGCCUUCGGGUUGUAAACCUCUUUCAGCAGGGACGAAGUUGACGUGUACCUGCAGAAGAAGCGCCGGCUAACUACGUGCCAGCAGCCGCGGUAAUACGUAGGGCGCAAGCGUUGUCCGGAAUUAUUGGGCGUAAAGAGCUCGUAGGUGGCUGGUCGCGUCUGCCGUGAAAGCCCGCAGCUUAACUGCGGGUCUGCGGUGGAUACGGGCCGGCUAGAGGUAGGUAGGGGCAAGUGGAAUUCCUGGUGUAGCGGUGAAAUGCGCAGAUAUCAGGAGGAACACCGGUGGCGAA
rnacentral:rRNA from 1 species